ensembl:lncRNA
GGCCGCGAGCAGCUCCGCGCCGAGCCCCCGGUUCCCCCCCCCGCGCGCCCGGCGUGCCGAUGGCCAGCAACAACACCGCUAGCAUAGCGCAGGCACGCAAGCUGGUGGAGCAGCUGAAGAUGGAGGCCAACAUCGACAGGAUAAAGGUGUCGAAGGCGGCGGCAGACCUGAUGGCGUACUGCGAAGCCCACGCCAAGGAGGACCCCCUAUUGACCCCCGUCCCGGCCUCAGAAAACCCCUUUAGAGAGAAGAAGUUCUUCUGCGUGAUCCUGUAAACCCUCAAGGAGCCUGACCGGCACUCAGGCCACCCUGAACACUGACGUAGAGUUUUUAGGAACGGGGGACGACCUGCUAGUCCACAGAAUUUAAACAAAAAUAAGUAAAAAAAAAAAAAAAUACACGGCCUGGAAGCUACAGGGAUGUGCAUGUUUAAAGAACCCGGCCGCCCUUGGGGGAAUAAGGUGAUCUGCAUUGCGAGGCAAAAGAUCUGAAGUCUGUAGAGUUGCCUAGAAAGGAAAAAAAAAAAAAAAAAAAAAGGGGAAAAAAAAAAAAAAGCAUAUUAAUGUAAAGAAUAAAUCCGUGUCACUUUUCUGCUCACCAAAUUUGUUUGGUUGUUCCAUACCCAAGCACCGGCGCGGUGCUGAGCAAAGUAAACCGCUAAGGGUGCGCAUAACCCCUCCCGGAAUGGCGUUGGUGGCCCCCUCCCGGAUGGGAUUUUCUGUUUACGUUGCCGGAUAGAUAGCGGCAGGCUAGCUGCCUGUGAUGUUGCUCGAUGUUGGGUCUCGUGCUUUCCCCUUCCCCGCGCUCGGGGGCAGGACGGCGGCGGUCGCACCCCCCCUCCCCGGAACCGCUGCGCCCCCCGCGCUGUGUCCGCUAGCUUCACCCCCCUGCGAGUGCUCGUGUUGUGCUUGGUGCUCCCCGCUCCUGCCACGGCUUUCCGUAGUUGUGCAUGGCACUUACCGCCGGGCCUUUCUUUUCUAAUAAUUCGACGCCUCCCCGGACAGAGGUUGGCCUCCAAAAUCAGCUCCGGCCGCUUCUUCCCGGGCCCCAUCCCCUCCUCCCACACCUCUGUGCCUCUUCUCUGCCCCUCGCUCGCUCCCCGCCCGGCCCUUUCGGCUUCCCCGCCGCGGGUGCUCCUGCCCCUUCCCGUCCCCCUGUCACGACAGGGGGUGAUUUUGGGGGGCUGCAGGGUGACCCCGGAGCAUCCCCGUCCCGCAGGUGCCUGAUGCCCCGUUUAUACGCAGCCAGCGCCCCGGAGGAGGGCUCGCUCCCAGGGCUGCAGGGAGGCGGCACCCCCCGUCAGCAUUUCGGGGGAAAAACACCUUCUUUUGGGGCUCGGUGCCAUGGGGGGGUGCUUGCGAGGACGUGGCUUGCCAGAAGCCUUUCCCUCCCGUUGCCGAACGCCUCCCGGGAUGCUGACGGGCAGGGGGACGGGGGCUCUGCUCACCUCGACCCCCCCGUUAGCCCUCGGGGUCUGCACCCAAAAUUAGCCGGGCACCGCCGAGGGUGCGCUGGGGACCGCGGCAACCCCGCUGAUAACCCGGAUCUGAACCAGCUAUCAGCUGAAAAAUAGAUAUUCAAGAGGGCGACGGCCUUUAGGUACCUUUCUGCGAGCCUUUCUAGCCCGAAACAAGUGCGUUUUGGUUUUUCUACCUUUUCAUACUCUUUUUCUAGCCUUCUACGUCGAAGACCCCUUAGCUGGAGCUGGGGCCACCGGCGGCCCGCGGUGGCUCCGCGUUCCCCCGUCCCCUGCUCCGCGUCCCGGGGCGGCGAGCUCGUGGUGUUACGGGGAAAACGCGUAAAUCCCCAAAUCCUCCCCCCCCCGCCCUGCCUUGUCUUUUCCUUUCGUGCUGCCUUUCCGCCCCGGCCGGCCCUUCCCGAUUGCUGUCGUGGUUUGUAAUAAUUUAUUUAUUAUUAUUUUUAUUUUUUUUUUUAACGGGCACGCGUCUUUUACGACCGGAAUUCUUACCACCACCAAAAGGCCUAAAAGCUGCACCAGGAGCCCGGAGGAGGGGACGGGGGGGGGAUCGGGAGGCAGCCGAAAGCACCCACAGGGGGGGUGCUGUGCGCGUUGCUGGUCCCGUCAGGGUGCUGCAGGGGUCUUGACCACCCCCCCCCCCCAAGUCUUGGGGUCACCCCAAGGAGCACCCCCCAAAAAAAAACCCUCGGUCACCUCUCCCGGCCAGCAGGGACAUCUGCGCUGGGCUGGGAAGGGAAAAUCUGCGGGGGGUGCCCAGGUGUGGGGCUUUUUUGGGGUGUGGGGGGUUUGGGGGGGUGUCCGGCCGUGGGCUGUAACGGAAAGGCAGCGCGGGGAGGUCGGCCUCGUGGUGUAGCGCGUCCCCGUCCCUCGUGGUGUGUGUGCUCGGUGGAAAUAAAACUUGGGAUUUGUUUCA